UACGAAGGGUGCAAAGCGUUACUCGGAAUUACUGGGCGUAAAGCGUGCGUAGGUGGUUUGUUAAGUCUGUUGUGAAAGCCCCGGGCUCAACCUGGGAAUGGCAAUGGAUACUGGCAGGCUAGAGUGCGGUAGAGGGUAGUGGAAUUCCCGGUGUAGCGGUGAAAUGCGUAGAGAAUCGGGGAGGAACACCAGUGGCGAAGGCGGCUACCUGGACCA
rnacentral:rRNA from 1 species